rnacentral:rRNA from 1 species
UACGUAGGGGGCAAGCGUUGUCCGGAAUUAUUGGGCGUAAAGAGCGCGUAGGCGGUCCGAUAAGUCGGCUGUGAAAGUCAGGGGCUCAACCCUUGAAAGCCGGCCGAUACUGUCGGACUAGAGUCCGGAAGAGGCAAGUGGAAUUCCCGGUGUAGCGGUGAAAUGCGCAGAUAUCGGGAGGAACACCAAUGGCGAAGGCAGCUUGCUGGGUUGCACCUGACGCUGAGUUGCGAAAGUGUGGGGAGCAAAGCGGG